CCCGGGCGGUUCCCAGCCCCGCAGCCCCGGGCAUGGUCCGGGCUGGCUCACCGGAGCCGGGCACCGGGCAGCUCCGCCACCAAGCCCCGGUCCCUGCACCGGGGAUCCCGGCAGCCCCUCCCGGACCUGCAGCCACCAGCACAUCCCCUGGGCUGUCGGAAGAAGUGAAUAAACGGCUAAAAACUACUUCAAAUACCCGACCCAUAGGAAUCCCUGUUACCCCAGUGGGAGAGGACAGUCAGGUCACAGUCCAGACACCCAGCUGCAGGGUACAAGAAGCCUUUGCAGACCUCAGUGGGAUUUUUCCUUCCCCAACGAUAGGAAAAGAGAGCUAAGAGGCCCUAUGUACUGUAAGGAAAAUGUGCACCACGGUGCUGACUGAUGGCAAUUGAGAUUUCAUUGGAUUGGAAGACAUGUCCUCUGUCUACGGUGUAGAGAAAUAUCAAGACCUUGACCCCUUGUCCCUGCUGGCCUGUGAAUAUGAACCUUUUGUUGCUAGGUAAUAAAAUCAAUUUUUGGUGGAGAGAAAGGGAAAAAGCUUAUAUCCUUUAUAAACCCAGCGCAAAGGCAGCAAUGCUCCUGAACUAUCUGGUUAGCAGCGUUGUAUGUAGGAGAGGCAAAAAAUACAUUUGGGGAACGUUUUGUGUGUACUGCUGAAUCACAUUUGAUGACUUGUCACUGUCAUUACCAUCAUUCUCAUUUUUAUUCCUAUUACAAUUACUAUUAAUUACAAUGGCGGAACAUGCAGAGACUCUGAGCACCAUCAAGACCCUACUGAACCUGGAACAGUGCAGAAGGUGCAAUGCGAUGGCAUUGCCUCCUCGAAGGUUUAAUAAUCCAAACAGAGGAGAAGGGAAAAGCAAAAUAAUUGACCUAAGGUCUUGCAACAGGCCGGUGGCAGAGCUGGGGUCCAUCUUUUAAGAUUUGCAGAAAAAUCCUCUGCCAUAGAUUAUUUACCUCUUCAAAGAGGGACACUUGUUGCCCUUGAAUUUUGACAGCUAACAUAACCUUUCCCAAUGUUUUGAGACGCUAUGGAUUCCAAAACAAAGGAUACAGAGAAAAACAUCACAAGAAAAGCUUUAAAGAAAGCUGAACUAAAUUAUUUUGUUUAAAUAAUGUGUAUAAAUAAUGUGUGUAGUCUUCUCGCUGUGCUAGUAAGUGUUUACAGAGAGUUGAAGGAGCUCAACGUAUAUGCGUCGGUGAGAAGGGUGAAAAGUUUGGUCUAAAAUGAGAAAACAACUUUCUAAAAGCGAUAUGGUUUGGAGAGUUCUCCGAUUAUGUCACAUUCUCCCUGCUGACUGCUGCUAACAGAGGAUAAGACUUUGCUGCUGCUAUCUGUGGAACCGAUCCCGCACUUCCAGCCGAGAGAUUUAUACUUUAAAGUAGCAGUUCUUGCUGGUGACUCGAAGGAAUUUGGCUGCCUAGCGAGGAUUAGAUAGAUCUUAAAGGUCUUUUCCAAUCUAAAUGAUUCUCUGAUUCUAUGGUUACUGCUCUUAUCUGUACAAUUCCCUCUUCCUCCAGCCUGCCCAAGAGGAAUGAGAUAAAAUCUGAUAGAGCAACCAGGUUCAUUAAACAGAGGUGCAGAUUUGCCUGUCCACAAAUAGGCAAGUUUUAGCCCUGCUUGGUCCCAGAUAAAUUACAGUCUUAUUCAUGAUAAUCUCAAGUGACAGUUUCCCCAUAAAUGAAGGAACGAAGAGACUUCGGUCCCAGGAGAAGCUGUUGGAAAAGGCUGGGAUACUGUGCAGAGAGGCAAUCUAUCACUGCAAGCCAUUAAGUAUGUACAUCCCAGCGUUUCCUUGCAUCGACCCUUUGUGUAGGCUAGGCUGUAAGCGCUUCCCUAAUAGAAAUCAGACUUUAAAUUUCCUAAGAGCAUGUGGAGUUAUCAUAAAGCAAGAUAAAUGUUCCUGCCUUCUUUUGUUGUUGUUGUUCUUUUCUUUAACCUGGGACAUAUUUAUUUUAUAGAUAAAAUAGCUGAAAUACGAAUAAUCUGGGAAAUGCAAUGAUAGGGUCUUACACCCUAGUAAGAGUAUUCUAUUUAUUACGUCUCAAGAAUUUCCAUGCCAGGCACUGAGAUGAUAACUAACUUUACGUUCUUUUUAAAUACUAAUCAAGUAACUGCAAAGGAUUCCCUUGAAAAUCAAAGAUCAUCUGUAACAAAGACUCUGCAGACAGCGAUAAGGCUAACAGCACCAUUCAGGACGUGUGAGCCUGUGGAGAAGCCAGCUCCCUUAUCCACAGUUUUCUAGAUACAGUAGUAAACAACUAAGUUUAGUAACAAGUUCUGGAAGUUCUGACUGAGACAUACAAGGAUGGUGGUUCCCAUGAGUCAGUAGAUAUCACUUUAAUUUUGCCCGCUUCCUACGAAUGGCCACAUUUUAAAAACGCAGACUGAUAAAAUAACACAUGAAGGCUAUUAAUUAAGUAUCUCCAUGUCUCCGUUUUCACAGUUGUAACUUUCCCCUAAAUUUUUCUCAAGAAACCGUAGUGCCCUUUCCUCCCUGGCCUCGUCUUUCCUCACCGCAGGGAUUAGUUAUGUAAAUUGGAACUUAAUCCCCUAAAGGCAAAUUUGCAGUUCAAGUCCAAGUGUCGGCUAGCACGGCCAACUGGAACCACAGCCGUCAGGGGGAUGGCGGAUGUUUUGCAUUUUGUCCUAGAGCCUAAGACAAUCUUAAACCACAAGGAUCUCCUUCAGGUUACAAAGGCAACCAGCCAGAUUUUCCC